UGGGGAUGAGCUAAAGGUUAAAUAUAAGAAAUAAGUAUAAAGUAAAAGUUUCCCUCAAUGGGUGAUUCCGCUUUCGCGGUCUACAUCUUCUCUAAUAAUGAUUCAAUCUCCCUUGGUAAGAAGGGGAAAAAUCUAUCCCAGUGAAGGGAUGAAGGUCCAAAAAUCUCUGCAGGUCCUCCGCCGCAGCUCCUCAA